AUUGAACGCUGGCGGCAGGCUUAACACAUGCAAGUCGAGCGGGGUGAUGGUGCUUGCACUAUCACUUAGCGGCGGACGGGUGAGUAAUGCUUAGGAAUCUGCCUAUUAGUGGGAGACAACAUCUCGAAAGGGAUGCUAAUACCGCAUACGUCCUACGGGAGAAAGCAGGGGAUCACUCGUGACCUUGCGCUAAUAGAUGAGCCUAAGUCGGAUUAGCGAGUUGGUGGGGUAAAGGCCUACCAAGGCGACGAUCUGUAGCGGGUCUGAGAGGAUGAUCCGCCACACUGGGACUGAGACACGGCCCAGACUCCUACGGGAGGCAGCAGUGGGGAAUAUUGGACAAUGGGGGGAACCCUGAUCCAGCCAUGCCGCGUGUGUGAAGAAGGCCUUAUGGUUGUAAAGCACUUUAAGCGAGGAGGAGGCUCUUUUGGUUAAUACCCAAGAUGAGUGGACGUUACUCGCAGAAUAAGCACCGGCUAACUCUGUGCCAGCAGCCGCCGUAA
rnacentral:rRNA from 1 species